AAAAUGAUUUGCUACUCACUUAAAAUGCAUGUCAAGUUUUUUAUUUAAAAAAUUAACAAAAAAGUUACUUCCGAAAUUUAAAAAAAUAACUAAAUUAAUGCCUUUUUAGUUUUAGAAUGUUAUGUCCAAAUCUAUUAACUAUUCAAUCUAUUAAAAAGAAAAAAUUAGUUAACUAAAAGUUAUAUUUUUAAAUAUAAGAAACUUGAGAAAUGAAAAUUUUAAUUUUUUUUUUCAAAAUCUAAAUAUCCGAACCAGAUCCGAAAUAACCGAAUCCGAACUAAAAAUACCCGA
rnacentral:lncRNA from 1 species